UACGAAGGGGGCUAGCGUUGCUCGGAAUCACUGGGCGUAAAGGGUGCGUAGGCGGGUCUUUUAAGUCAGGGGUGAAAUCCUGGAGCUCAACUCCAGAACUGCCUUUGAUACUGAAGAUCUUGAGUUCGGGAGAGGUGAGUGGAACUGCGAGUGUAGAGGUGAAAUUCGUAGAUAUUCGCAAGAACACCAGUGGCGAAGGCGGCUCACUGGCCCGAUACCGACGCUGAGGCGCGAAAGCGUGGGGAGCAAACGGG
rnacentral:rRNA from 1 species